CCUACGGGAGGCAGCAGUGAGGAAUAUUGGUCAAUGGGCGCGAGCCUGAACCAGCCAAGUCGCGUGAGGGAAGACGGUCCUAUGGAUUGUAAACCUCUUUUGUCGGGGAGCAAAAGACGCCACGCGUGGCGUUCCGAGAGUACCCGAAGAAAAAGCAUCGGCUAACUCCGUGCCAGCAGCCGCGGUAAUACGGAGGAUGCGAGCGUUAUCCGGAUUUAUUGGGUUUAAAGGGUGCGUAGGCGGUAUUUUAAGUUAGUGGUAAAACGUCGGGGCUUCACCUUGAUUGGCCAUUAAAACUGGAGUACUAGAGUACAGACGAGGUAGGCGGAAUAAGUUAAGUAGCGGUGAAAUGCUUAGAUAUAACUUAGAACCCCGAUAGCGAAGGCAGCUUACCAGACUGUUACUGACGCUGAAGCACGAGAGCGUGGGUAGCGAACAGGAUUAGAUACCCCUGUAGUC
rnacentral:rRNA from 1 species